rnacentral:rRNA from 1 species
AGUGAACGCUGGCGGUAGGCCUAACACAUGCAAGUCGAACGGCAGCACAGUAAGAGCUUGCUCUUACGGGUGGCGAGUGGCGGACGGGUGAGGAAUACAUCGGAAUCUACUUUUUCGUGGGGGAUAACGUAGGGAAACUUACGCUAAUACCGCAUACGACCUACGGGUGCAAGCAGGGGAUCUUCGGACCUUGCGCGAUUGAAUGAGCCGAUGUCGGAUUAGCUAGUUGGCGGGGUAAAGGCCCACCAAGGCGACGAUCCGUAGCUGGUCUGAGAGGAUGAUCAGCCACACUGGAACUGAGACACGGUCCAGACUCCUACGGGAGGCAGCAGUGGGGAAUAUUGGACAAAGGGCGCAAGCCUGAUCCAGCCAUACCGCGUGGGUGAAGAAGGCCUUCGGGUUGUAAAGCCCUUUUGUUGGGAAAGAAAAGCAGCAGGUUAAUACCCCGCUGUUCUGACGGUACCCAAAGAAUAAGCACCGGCUAACUUCGUG